GCUGGGCGUGGUGGUGCACACCUGUAGUCCUAGCUACUCAGGAGGCUGAGGCAGGAGGAUCACUUGAACCCAGGAGAUUGAGGCUGCAGUGAGCUAUGAUCAUGCCACUGCACUCCAGCCUGGGCGACAGAGUGAGACCCUGUCUCAA
rnacentral:SRP_RNA from 1 species